CAACACUGGGACUGAGACACUGKCCAAACUCCUACGGGAGGCUGCGUCGAGAUCUUUCGCAUGGGCGAAGCCUGACGAAGCGACGCUGCGUGAGUGAUGAAGGCUUUCGGGUUGUAAAACUCUUUCGCGCGGAGCAAAGUGGGUUAGYGAAURACUGAUUCAUAUGAGAGUACUACGUAAAGAAGCACCGGC
rnacentral:rRNA from 1 species